GCGGCGGACGGGUGAGUAACACGUGGGCAACCUGCCCUGCAGACUGGGAUAACUUCGGGAAACCGGAGCUAAUACCGGAUAACACCGAAAACCGCAUGGUUUUCGGUUGAAAGGCGGCUUUUAGCUGUCACUGCAGGAUGGGCCCGCGGCGCAUUAGCUAGUUGGUGAGGGUAACGGCUCACCAAGGCGACGAUGCGUAGCCGACCUGAGAGGGUGACCGGCCACACUGGGACUGAGACACGGCCCAGACUCCUACGGGAGGCAGCAGUAGGGAAUCUUCCGCAAUGGACGAAAGUCUGACGGAGCAACGCCGCGUGAGCGAAGAAGGUCUUCGGAUCGUAAAGCUCUGUUGUCAGGGAAGAACAAGUGCCGUUCGAACAGGGCGGUACCUUGACGGUACCUGACGAGGAAGCCACGGCUAACUACGUGCCAGCAGCCGCGGUAAUAC
rnacentral:rRNA from 2 species